UUGUGCAUAAUAUAAUAUAUUUGUAUUUUUAUAUAUGACUCAUCAAAUAGCAAAGAAGAUUAUAAAGUUUGCCGGGAGUGAUAUUAUUCGCCAAGUAAAAUACUGUAUACAUUGUAUGAGAAAUAGAAAGGGAGAUUGAACAGAAACUCGGCCCUCAAAUCUUCUCAGGCGUAGAUAUCUUGUAUGCUGACUAUGAACCAUACAAACUCAAAUAUUGUGGAAUGUGGACCACAGAAAAGCCAACAAAUUAAUUAAAAAUUAAAUAUUUACAUUAAAUUUGACAUCUAUUUUCGCAUAAGAACAGUUUAAUAAAGCAGUUAAAAUCACUAAUUAACCUAAAAUCUUGAAAGUGUUGCUGAUGUUGGGUAGAGCAGAAUUCCAGAAAGAAAGUAGUGGAACUCCUUAAUCAUGUCGAAUACCGCUUUAUUUAACCUUAAUAUUGUCGAACCAUGUGAGCAGCUCACAUAAAUAGGGAGAAGCAUAAUUACUUUCGACAAUCUCAAUAGAAGUUUUGAAGAAAAAAAUAGUACAAAG
rnacentral:lncRNA from 1 species